rnacentral:rRNA from 1 species
CGGGUGGAGCUUGCGGUUUAAUUGGAUUCAACGCCGGAAAUCUUACCGGGACCGACAGCAAUAUGAAGGCCAGGCUGAAGACUUUGCCGGAUUAGCUGAGAGGUGGUGCAUGGCCGUCGUCAGUUCGUACUGUGAAGCAUCCUGUUAAGUCAGGCAACGAGCGAGACCCACGCCCACAGUUGCCAGCGUACUCUCUGGAGUGACGGGUACACUGUGGGGACCGCCGCUGCUAAAGCGGAGGAAGGAAUGGGCAACGGUAGGUCAGUAUGCCCCGAAUAUCCCGGGCUACACGCGAGCUACAAUGGUUGGUACAAUGGGUAUCUACCCCGAAAGGGGACGGGAAUCUCCUAAAACCAAUCUUAGUUCGGAUUGGAGUCUGCAACUCGACUCCAUGAAGCUGGAAUCGCUAGUAAUCGCGGAUCAGCAUGCCGCGGUGAAUACGUUCCCGGGCCUU